rnacentral:rRNA from 1 species
GAUGAACGCUGGCGGCAGGCCUAACACAUGCAAGUCGAACGAGUGGCGGACGGGUGAGUAAUGUCUGGGAAACUGCCCGAUGGAGGGGGAUAACUACUGGAAACGGUAGCUAAUACCGCAUACCAUCGGAUGUGCCCAGAUGGGAUUAGCUAGUAGGGGGGGUAACGGCUCACCUAGGCGACGAUCCCUAGCUGGUAUGAGAGGAUGACCAGCCAAACUGGAACUGAGACACGGUCCAGACUCCGACGGGAGUCAGCAGUGGGGAAUAUUACACAAUGGGCGAACGCCUGAUGCAGCCAUGCCGCGUGUAUGAAAAAGGCCUUCGGAUUGUAAAGUACUUUCAGCGAGGAGGCGUUACUCGCAGAAGAAGCACCGGAUAACUCCGUGCCAGCAGCCGCGGUAAUAC